UACGUAGGGUGCGAGCGUUAAUCGGAAUUACUGGGCGUAAAGCGUGCGCAGGCGGUUUUGUAAGACAGCUGUGAAAUCCCCGGGCUUAACCUGGGAACUGCGGUUGUGACUGCAAGACUGGAGUCAGGCAGGGGGGGGUGGAAUUCCACGUGUAGCAGUGAAAUGCGUAGAGAUGUGGAGGAACACCGAUGGCGAAGGCAGCCCCCUGGGCUAUGACUGACGCUCAUGCACGAAAGCGUGGGGAGCAAACAGG
rnacentral:rRNA from 1 species